AUCCCGCAUCGAGAGUUGGGGCGACGCCCAACGCCAACCUGCCGUUCCGGGCAAGGUGGCACUCCCAGGGUCCGAUCGACCGGGGAGGAUGUGGCCGAGCCGGCAACCAAACGGAUCACG
rnacentral:ncRNA from 2 species